UGAUGUGAAAGCCCNCGGCUCAACCGUGGAGGGUCAUUGGAAACUGUUAAACUNGAGUGCAGGAGAGAAAAGUGGAAUUCNUAGUGUAGCGGUGAAAUGCGUAGAGAUUAGGAGGAACACCAGUGGCGAAGGCGGCUUUUUGGCCUGUAACUGACACUGAGGCGCGAAAGCGUGGGGAGCAAACAGGAUUAGAUACCCUGGUAGUNCACGCCGUAAACGAUGAGUGCUAAGUGUUGGUCUCAUAAGAGAUCAGUGCUGCAGCUAACGCAUUAAGCACUCCGCCUGGGGAGUACGACCGCAAGGUUGAAACUCAAAGGAAUUGACGGGGACCCGCACAAGCGGUGGAGCAUGUGGUUUAAUUCAAAGCAACGCGAAGAACCUUACCAAGUCUUGACACACUGUGAGGACACAAGAGAUUGUGUUGUUCUGACCUUUGGUUAGACACAGAUACAGGUGGUGCAUGGUUGUCGUCAGCUCGUGUCGUGAGAUGUUGGGUUAAGUCCCGCAACGAGCGCAACCCUUAUAUCUAGUUGCCAGCAGUAAGAUGGGGACUCUAGAUAGACUGCCAGUGAUAAACUGGAGGAAGGUGGGGAUGACGUCAAAUCAUCAUGCCCCUUAUGACUUGGGCUACACACGUGCUACAAUGGAUAGGAACAAAGAGAAGCGAGCUCGCGAGAGUAAGCAAACCUCACAAAACUAUUCUCAGUUCGGAUUGUAGUCUGCAACUCGACUACAUGAAGCUGGAAUCGCUAGUAAUCGCGUAUCAGAAUGUCGCGGUGAAUACGUUCCCGGGUCUUGUACACGCCGCCCGUCACACCACGAGAGUUUGUAACACCCGAAGACGGUGGCCUAACCUUUUAGGAGGGA
rnacentral:rRNA from 1 species